rnacentral:rRNA from 1 species
AACGUAGGUCACAAGCGUUGUCCGGAAUUACUGGGUGUAAAGGGAGCGCAGGCGGGAAGACAAGUUGGAAGUGAAAUCCAUGGGCUCAACCCAUGAACUGCUUUCAAAACUGUUUUUCUUGAGUAGCGCAGAGGUAGGCGGAAUUCCCGGUGUAGCGGUGGAAUGCGUAGAUAUCGGGAGGAACACCAGUGGCGAAGGCGGCCUACUGGGCACCAACUGACGCUGAGGCUCGAAAGUGUGGGUAGCAAACAGG